AUUCUUAUCGACCUUUGUGUUUAUAUAACAGGGAAUUGAAGUUAUUCAAAAUUGGAUUUUUUUUUGCACGCAUUCUGUUACCAGCUGUAACGCGUUCGCGAGUAUCACUACUGCUGAAGAGGGCGCGACUUCAUAGGAUUCGCUAAUCUAUAAAUUCCAAAAUUUUCAAAUUCUGGUAGAUAAUCACUAUUGAUGGUAUUUGUAGUCCACCAUGCAGGGCAACUCCAUACCAAGAUCAGCACACGGAUGCUGCAAGCUGUCCAGCUGAAAAAUCGAAAGAAUAAUGAAGCAUUUUAUCAAAUGUGUACUACCAAUAGAAGAGCCUACCAAUAGUGAUACCGGAUUGGUACUGCGUCCCUCGAGCCCAUCGGCUAGACUGAACAGAUCAUGUUCCACCAAACUUUUGUCCGCGUCAUAGUAGUUGAGACGAGCUCGCAGCAGCUCGUCUGGAUGUUUCUGGAUCUUCUCCAAUGACCAAUAUGGCCAAUUACCUGCCAGCAUAUACGAUAACGAUAUUCCGCUCGGUCCAUUACCUAGUUUAAAAAGAACAAUAAAAACACACUGUGUUAGAAAUUAAUUUGCUUAAAUAAGUGAUAUACAGCAAAUUGUCACCGAAUGAUUUGCAUCAGCUAUUCUAACUAUGGUCAAUUAAAACGCAGUCGUUAUUGAGUGUAAUUUGUACCGCUGAUGUUUACAACCGUCGGAGUGUUGUUUGUAAAUUGGGAGCAAAGUUCACAUAAACUGUUCACUGUUCGUUUCGAAUAGCUGUGAUUAUACAUCCGUGUGUUGUACAUGCAAAACAUACAAAGCACACAGAUGAUUGAUCUUGAUCCGCCGAAAAUCUCGGCUAGCAACGGCACAGACAGUAUGUCAAUACCCAAAAGCGCCCCUCAGAGUUUACGUGCCCAUUAUCAUGCACCCGGAGAGAAUUACGCAAAGCUAGCUUCCAGAACUUGACCCAAUGUAGCCCGAGGAUUAUCUCACCGCAGAAACCCAAAAAUACACACCACAACGGAACUGCCAGGAAUCAGAAAUCGACAAACGACACCACACAAUCUUAUCACAUAACACUCGUGGCUUUGGCUCUGGAUUCAGUGCGCACAUUGCAUCGACGUCUUAUCAAUUGCCGGUCGACCAACGGGGAACUUCAGUGGAGGGGGGUAGGGGUAUGUUCCCGUUAGUUUAUAAGUGUUUGCAGUGCUGAUUCGCAGCGAGCACAGCGAGCCUCCCGUGGACAGUAAUCACCUUGGGUGAUGUCAACAUUAUCGCGUGAACGGUCACACGACGGGGAGAUUCCUGUUGACGUAGACAAAUGUGUGUUGGUGGGAAUGAAAUCAUUGAUAACGGUUGGAGCUUCGUUGUUUGAUUUGACACUGUUGUAAUCGCAAUAGUGGGCUAAAUCGCAAUCCAAGUUUGGCGGUGCAAUAAUAGCAAUAGCUCGGAGCGGUUUAUGAAAUAAUUUGCUUAGGUGCGGCACGUACUUCAUGAGAACACCGAAAGGUUUCAGUUUUAAAUAUCAACUCAUUUUUAGUUAAAGGAUUUCGAAUUGAUAAUGAAAUGGGAAUUAUAGUUAUUCAUUGGAUCAUCUAUGAGUGCCAGUUCAACAUAUCCUGGUGGAAGCUUCUGAUAGAUUAUGUUUAGAUCGGCGGAAACUAUCUUCAAGUGAUUUGAAUAACCCUGAAAGUCGCAUGUCGUUGAAAAAAAGAGAAGAAAAACAUUGGAAAAAAAAAUAAGGCUAUUCUUUGUAAAUAUUACCAAAUUAACUAAUUGUCACCUCAUUUAUCGAAAACUAAAUACAUGGUCUUCCACUCUCUAAAAACACGAUUUUUUGCUCUGACCCGCAGUUAUAGAUGUUUCAAUUGAAAGAGUGAAUCGCUUAAAAUAUCUUGGAACCAAACCUUUAAAUGCAAACCAACCGUGGAUUUAUGGAUGGAAUAUUAGUGAAGGGUCA